GAUGAACGUUGGCGGCGUGCCUAACACAUGCAAGUCGAACGGACCCAAUCUUCGGAACGGGUUAGUGGCGUACGGGUGAGUAACACGUAGGUGACCUGCCCCAAAGCGGGGGAUAACGACUAGAAAUGGUCGCUAAUACCGCAUGUGCUCAGCGAUUCGGUUCGUUGAGUAAAACUUUGGUGCUUUGGGAGGGGCCUGCGGCCGAUUAGCUAGUUGGUAGGGUAAUGGCCUACCAAGGCGAUGAUAGGUAGGGGCGUGAGAGCGUGACCCCCCACACUGGGACGUGAGACACGGCCCACGACUCCUACGGGAGGCAG
rnacentral:rRNA from 1 species